rnacentral:rRNA from 1 species
CCUACGGGUGGCAGCAGUGAGGAAUAUUGGUCAAUGGGCGAGAGCCUGACCCAGCAACGCCGCGUGAAGGAAGAAUGCUUUCGGGUUGUAAACUUCUUUUGGCAGGGAAGAGCAGAACACGGUACCUGUCGAAUAAGCCACGGCUUACUACGUGCCAGCAGCCGCCGUUAUACGGAGGUGGCAAGCGUUGUCCGGCUUUACUGGGUGUACAGGCCGUGUAGCCAGUCUGACAAGGGAGGUGGUAAAUCCGGGGGCGCAACCCCCGACUUGCAUUUGAAACUGUUGGUCUUGAGUAUCGGAGAGGCAGGCGGAAGUCCUAGUGGAGCGGUGAAAUGCGUAGAUAUUAGGAGGAACACCAGUGGCGAAGGCAGCCUGCUGGACGACAACUGACGGUGAGGCGCGAAAGCGUGGGGAGCAAACAGGAUUAGAUACCCCUGUAGUC